rnacentral:rRNA from 1 species
UACGGAGGGAGCUAGCGUUGUUCGGAAUUACUGGGCGUAAAGGGCGCGUAGGCGGCCUGCUAAGUCGAACGUGAAAUCCCCGGGCUCAACCCGGGAACUGCGUCCGAUACUGGCAGGCUUGAAUCCGGGAGAGGGAUGCGGAAUUCCAGGUGUAGCGGUGAAAUGCGUAGAGAUCUGGAGGAACACCGGUGGCGAAGGCGGCAUCCUGGACCGGCAUUGACGCUGAGGCGCGAAAGCCAGGGGAGCAAAGCGGG